CCUACGGGUGGCAGCAGUGAGGAAUAUUGGUCAAUGGACGAGAGUCUGAACCAGCCAAGUAGCGUGAAGGAUGACUGCCCUAUGGGUUGUAAACUUCUUUUGUCAAGGGACAAAAUCAGGCUCGAGAGCCUGACCGAGGGUACUUGAAGAAAAAGCAUCGGCUAACUCCGUCCCAGCAGCCGCGGUAAUACGGAGGAUGCGAGCGUUAUCCGGAUGUAUUGGGUUUAAAGGGUGCGUAGGCGGACUGUUAAGUCAGCGGUAAAAGCCCGGGGCUAAACCCCGGCGAGCCGUUGAAACUGGCUGUCUUGAGAUGUCGAGAGGUAUGCAGAAUGCGCAGUGUAGCGGUGAAAUGCGUAGAUAUUGCGCAGAACUCCGAUUGCGAAGGCAGCAUACCGGCGGCGAUCUGACGCUGAGGCACGAAAGCGUGGGUAUCGAACAGGAUUAGAUACCCCAGUAGUC
rnacentral:rRNA from 1 species